GACCUUGUAGCCCAAUGGUGAUGCGUCUGAAUCAAGAUCGGAAGGCUGUGUGUUCAAAUCACGUCAAGGUCA
rnacentral:tRNA from 1 species